GGAGCGGUGCCCGAGCGGCUUAAGGGGCCGGUUUGCUAAACCGGUGUACGGGUAAUCGCCUGUACCGAGGGUUCGAAUCCCUCCUGCUCCG
rnacentral:tRNA from 1 species